rnacentral:rRNA from 1 species
UACGUAUGGUGCAAGCGUUAUCCGGAUUUAUUGGGCGUAAAGGGAACGCAGGCGGUCUUUUAAGUCUGAUGUGAAAGCCUUCGGCUUAACCGGAGUAGUGCAUUGGAAACUGGGAGACUUGAGUGCAGAAGAGGAGAGUGGAACUCCAUGUGUAGCAGUGAAAUGCGUAGAUAUAUGGAAGAACACCAGUGGCGAAAGCGGCUCUCUGGUCUGUAACUGACGCUGAGGUUCGAAAGCGUGGGUAGCAAACAGG